AUUGAACGCUGGCGGCAGGCCUAACACAUGGAAGUCGAGCGAGCGGCGGACGGGUGAGGAAUGUAUGGGGACUGCCCGAUAGAGGGGGAUAACUACUGGAAAUGGUGGCUAAUACCGCAUACUAUCGGAUAACCCAUAUGGGAUUCGCUAGUAGGUGGGGUAAAGGCUCACCUAGGCGAUGAUCUCUAGCUGGUCUGAGAGGAUGCUUAGCCACGCUGGGACGUAGACACGGCCCAGACUCCUACGGAGGCAGCCGUGGGGAAUAGUGCACAAGGGGCGCAAGCCUGAUGCAGCCAUGCCGCGUGUAUGAAGAAGGCCUUAGGGUUGUAAAGGACUUUCAGCGUGGAUGCGUUACCCGCAGAAGAAGCACCGGCUAACGCCGUGCCAGCAGCCGCGGUAAUUC
rnacentral:rRNA from 1 species